UAGGCCCAAUUAAAAGCUUAAUGGACAAGAUUUAAAAGAUGACUAAUUUAUCUUUAUCCUCAUAAUAUUUCCUAGAAACUUCAAGAAGUCUCAAGAAGAGAAGAAGGAGAUAAAUCUCCAAGGCCAUUCGGCCAAAGCAAAAUUCAACACAACCUUGGAAAAAAUUUUCUUCAAAAAUCAUUUUCUACCAAUUGAAGGGUUCCUAGCAAGGUGGAGUGGUUCUUGGAACAAGAGAAAUUCAUAUUCUUGCAAGUUACAAGUCUUAACUAAGUGGGAAGUUAAGGAAGAAGAUUUUGACGGAUUUGCAACUUGAAGUUGGAGUAACAUAAGGAGCGGAAAAAGGUCAGCAGGUAGGCGGAUUUGAUUCCUAGGAGCUCUAUCAGCAGUACUUGGCAUCGCUCCAGUUGUUCCGGAGCCUCAGUUCCUUGAACAUAUUCACAAAGAUUAUCAAGGAAAAAUUGGGUGAGACAUCAACAUCUAAGAAUGAAGAUAGUUUUGAAGUAGAUGAUGGAGCCACAGAAAGAAACAUAACAACAAAUGAAAAUGAGGAAGGAUAAAAUCAAAUGACCAAGCGUCUCAAGUACAGUGUUCUCAUAAAGUUGAAUUUUUAUUUUAAGCUCUAAUAAGGGAGUUAAAUCUUUGUUCAGUCUGUUGAUGAUUGCGUUGUGCGUUUACCCGCAGACCCCAAAGAGGAUGCUUUCCUAUCUAAGAUUACACCUGUAUCUUAGCCUGAAGAUUGAUCCAGCGAACCUCCUACAGUUGACUUUUCAAAAAUUUAUUUGGAUGAAGUGGGUGGGAUUAAGAAGAUGCACCUUUAUGGUGUUGGUCUUCAAGCACCUUUCUAUGGGCAUGUUGGUGAAUCCUCCGCGUUCGACAUCUCGACUUUGAUACUAGAGUGCAAGAAUUUGUUGGACAUCGUCUUCAAGAAAUGAAGCAUGAGAUGAGAGGAGAUCAAACAAGAAAUAAGGGAAGAAAUGCGACAAGUAUUGUGUGAAGAAUGAGACCUGAAGUGCAACAAGAGGUGCAAGAGCAAGUUAAUCAGAUACUUCAAGUACAUUGUUCGGGCAUUAUAGCUCGCUUACCUUCACCUCCUUCUGGUAGACCUGACACGUCCUCGAAUCAUGAAACAAGUCAUAUUUAGGUCAAUUUUAGAUUGUUUUAUGUUAGACACACUUUAGAUUGUUUCUUCAAUUCUAUGAUAGAUGUUAUUAUUUAUGAAAUAGGCAAUGUUUUUUGGA